rnacentral:rRNA from 1 species
GAUCCUGGCUCAGGACGAACGCUGGCGGCGCGCCUAACACAUGCAAGUCGAACGGAGCUGAGAGAAGCUUGAUUUUCUUAGCUUAGUGGCGAACGGGUGAGUAACGCGUGAGUAACCUGCCCUGGAGUGGGGGACAACAGUUGGAAACGACUGCUAAUACCGCAUAAGCCCACGAUCCGGCAUCGGAUUGAGGGAAAAGGAUUUAUUCGCUUCAGGAUGGACUCGCGUCCAAUUAGCUAGUUGGUG